rnacentral:rRNA from 1 species
AUUGAACGCUGGCGGCAGGCCUAACACAUGCAAGUCGAGCGGAUGAAGGGAGCUCGCUCCUGGAUUCAGCGGCGGACGGGUGAGUAAUGCCUAGGAACCUGCCUGGUAGUGGGGGAUAACGUCCGGAAACGGGCGCUAAUACCGCAUACGUCCUGAGGGAGAAAGUGGGGGAUCUUCGGACCUCACGCUAUCAGAUGAGCCUAGGUCGGAUUAGCUAGUUGGUGGGGUAAAGGCCUACCAAGGCGACGAUCCGUAACUGGUCUGAGAGGAUGAUCAGUCACACUGGAACUGAGACACGGUCCAGACUCCUACGGGAGGCAGCAGUGGGGAAUAUUGGACAAUGGGCGAAAGCCUGAUCCAGCCAUGCCGCGUGUGUGAAGAAGGUCUUCGGAUUGUAAAGCACUUUAAGUCGGGAGGAAGGGCAGUAAGUUAAUACCUUGCUGUUUUGACGUUACCAACAGAAUAAGCACCGGCUAACUUCGUG